rnacentral:rRNA from 1 species
GACGAACGCUGGCGGCGUGCUUAACACAUGCAAGUCGAACGGAAAGGCCCUGCUUUUGUGGGGUGCUCGAGUGGCGAACGGGUGAGUAACACGUGAGUAACCUGCCCUUGACUUUGGGAUAACUUCAGGAAACUGGGGCUAAUACCGGAUAGGAGCUCCUGCUGCAUGGUGGGGGUUGGAAAGUUUCGGCGGUUGGGGAUGGACUCGCGGCUUAUCAGCUUGUUGGUGGGGUAGUGGCUUACCAAGGCUUUGACGGGUAGCCGGCCUGAGAGGGUGACCGGCCACAUUGGGACUGAGGUACGGCCCAGACUCCUACGGGAGGCAGCAGGGGGGAAUAUUGCACAAUGGGCGGAAGCCUGAUGCAGCAAUGCCGCGUGCGGGAUGACGGCCUUCGGGUUGUAAACCGCUUUCGCCUGUGACGAAGCGUGAGUGACGGUAAUGGGUAAAGAAGCACCGGCUAACUACGUG